rnacentral:tRNA from 1 species
AAGAUUUUAAGUUAAUUAAACUAUAAGCCUUCAAAGCUUAAAUUUCUUCAAGAAAAUCUUA